ACUAAAGGGGAGGGAUAAACAAAAGAUGAAAAGCUGCGCAGCUUUGGACCCCCCACCCCCAGACGUCGUCUUCUUCAAAUAGUCCCCCCUCACGAUCUCAUCUUCCUUCCCCACACAAAUGACCCUACCUCUAAAACGACCCCUCCCGACUUCAUCGAACCAGCAAGAGGAGAACGCAGAGGGCUAAUAACAUGCAAAGUUGUGCAUGAAAAACUGAAGAGCAGCGCAGUUUUCAGGUGGAAGUAGCGUUUCCACAGGCAACCAAACUGACGAACCAGCCACGCCGCCUGUCCGCCGGAAAACAGCGACGAGUCAGACCCCACCCCGGCGUGCUGCUUCUUCUCCUCCAAUUGAAAACUAACGAAAAACCCUGUCCCCCUCCUUCCAUGGCUUGAACUUCAACCAAAAACAAGAUCCCUAACACUAUCUGUUUCAUCUUCCUAGUGUUAGAUUUUGCUUCUCCAUGAACGGAGUUUGCUUGAGCGAUUCGAGUUCACGACGAGGCCCGUCGUUGAACGCUGUCACAGUUCUUGUGAAUGUCGAGUUUUCCGAUUGAGUGUAGACGGUCGUUUCUGUUGAUCUUUGGUCGAAGCCUGUUUGAGGGUGUCGCGUCGAGUUUCCGGUCACUGGUUCAUUUGCUCGUAAAGGCUUGUUAGAUGCUCUUUUCUUAGGCCUUCUUUCAAAAAGUGUGUUGCAGUAAAGGAAAUCUCGAAACAAACCCUUGAACCUCUCCCAAGAUGAAUAUAGGAAGUCUCCCUCCUUCUGUUUAAAGGCAAAUAUUUCAUUUUCGAUCUUUGAUGUAUUACCGGAUGGGAAAAACCUCGCCAAGAACUUUUGAGCUAGAUCAUUCUAUAAUGUAAUAGAGUUUGCUAGUCCAACUCAAGGUGACAUUAAUAAUGUUGUGCAUCACCACCUCUUGCACCGUCA